AACGAACGCUGGCGGCAGGCUUAACACAUGCAAGUCGAACGCCCCGCAAGGGGAGUGGCAGACGGGUGAGUAACGCGUGGGAACGUGCCCUUCGCUUCGGAAUAGCCCCGGGAAACUGGGAGUAAUACCGGAUACGCCGUAUUGGGAAAGAUUUAUCGGCGAAGGAUCGGCCCGCGUUGGAUUAGCUAGUUGGAGGUGUAAUGGACCCCCAAGGCUACGAUCCAUAGCUGGUCUGAGAGGAUGAUCAGCCACACUGGGACUGAGACACGGCCCAGACUCCUACGGGAGGCAGCAGUGGGGAAUCUUGGACAAUGGGCGCAAGCCUGAUCCAGCCAUGCCGCGUGAGUGAAGAAGGCCUUAGGGUUGUAAAACUCUUUCGCCGGAGAAGAUAAUGACGGUAUCCGGAGAAGAAGCCCCGGCUAACUUCGUGCCAGCCGCCGCGGUAACAC
rnacentral:rRNA from 1 species